UACGAAGGGGGCUAGCGUUGCUCGGAAUUACUGGGCGUAAAGGGCGCGUAGGCGGAUAGUUUAGUCAGAGGUGAAAGCCCAGGGCUCAACCUUGGAACUGCCUUUGAUACUGGCUAUCUUGAGUUCGGGAGAGGUGAGUGGAAUGCCGAGUGUAGAGGUGAAAUUCGUAGAUAUUUGGCGGAACACCAGUGGCGAAGGCGACUCACUGGCCCGAUACUGACGCUGAGGCACGAAAGCGUGGGGACAAACAGG
rnacentral:rRNA from 1 species